AUGGCUAGUCAUGCCAUUUGGACUCUCAAAUGCACCAAGUACCUUUAUGUACUUAUGAAUCAAGUCCUUCGACCCUUCUUAUCCCACUUUGUUGUGGUCUACUUCGAUGACAUCUUGAUCUAUAGCAAGGAUGAGGAUGAACACUUUGAUCACAUUCGGAAGGUGCUAGAAGUACUAAGGGAAAGUGAGCUCUAUGUCAACUUGAAGAAAUGUGUUCUCCUACAAAUACAACUUCUCUUCCUAGGAUUCGUCAUAACAUGUGACGGCAUUCGUGUUGAUGAUUCUAAGGUUGAAGCAAUCCGAGAAUGGCCAACUCCGAAGACCAUUUCUGAGGUAAGAAGCUUUCUUGGCCUUGCAACUUUCUAUAGGCGAUUUGUGAAGAAUUUCAGCACUAUCAUGGCACCAAUUACCGAGUGUAUUUGA
rnacentral:rRNA from 1 species